AUGUCGCUCUAUCCUGAGGGUGGAGUGUCCGUGAACCACACUGCCCACACCUUCUUCACUCCCGCCAACACCGGCUGCACCCCAAACCAUGAGAUGCUCGAGGAGGAGCAUGAGGUGGCUGUGCUGGGGGCAUCCCACAACCCCACUCCACCGAGGUCCCCCAUGCUCCACAUCCACAGUGACACCUCCUUGCCCGACCAUGUUGUCUGGUCCCUGCUCAACACCCUCUUAGUGAACUGCUGCUGCCUGGGCUUCAUUGCAUUCACCUACUCCAUCAAGUGGUCAAGGGACAGGAAGAUGGUUGGUAACCUGACCGGGGCCCAGGCCUAUGCCUCCACCGCCAAGUGCCUGAACGUCUGGGCCCCGGUUCUGUGCAUCCUCAGGACCGUUCUGCUCAUCAUCAUCCCAGUGCUGAUCUUCCAAGUCUAUGGAUAGAACAGGAGGCAGCCUCCAGGCCAGGAGCUCUGCCUACCACGUGUCUCCCACGCACUCCACCUUCCAUGCCUCAAC